CGGGUGAGUAACACGUAUGCAACCUACCUGUAAGAGGGGAAUAACCCGGAGAAAUUCGGACUAACACCGCAUAAUACCAAUUAACUGCAUGGUUGAUUGGUUAAAUAUUUAUAGCUUACAGAUGGGCAUGCGUAUGAUUAGAUAGUUGGUGAGGUAACGGCUCACCACGUCAACGAUCAUUAGGGGUUCUGAGAGGAAGGUCCCCCACACUGGUACUGAGAUACGGACCAG
rnacentral:rRNA from 1 species